rnacentral:rRNA from 1 species
CCUACGGGAGGCAGCAGUGGGGGAUAUUGCACAAUGGGGGGAACCCUGAUGCAGCGACGCCGCGUGGGUGAAGGAGCGUUUCGGCGCGUAAAGCCCUAUCGGCAGGGAAGAAGGAGGACGGUACCUGACUAAGAAGCCCCGGCUAACUACGUGCCAGCAGCCGUGGUAAUACGUAGGGGGCAAGCGUUAUCCGGAGUUACUGGGUGUAAAGGGGGCGCAGACGGCAGCGCAAGCCAGGAGUGAAAGCCCGGGGCCCAACCCCGGGACUGCUCUUGGAACUGCGCGGCUGGAGUGCAGGAGGGGCAGGCGGAAUUCCGGGUGGAGCGGUGAAAUGCGUAGAUAUACGGAGGAACACCAGUGGCGAAGGCGGCCUGCUGGACAUUAACUGACGCUGAGGCGCGAAAGCGUGGGGAGCAAACAGGAUUAGAUACCCCGGUAGUC